rnacentral:lncRNA from 1 species
CACCACGUGCUCUUCAUUCCCAUCAUUCAAAGAAAUUGAGACAAGAUCUUCAAUUGGCUCACCCCUUUCUUCAGCAAGAUCAUCGCGAGUGUCCAAUCCAUCAACCGGGCAGGGGUCGGACUGUCCCUUUCUCUGAAGGGUUAUGUUGUAGCAAUGUCUUGCUAGGGCUUGAUCUCCUCUGACUACUCUGACCUCCUGGCUAGUAGAAAAUUUCAACCUCAAAUGGUAGGUUGAUAUUACAGCUCGGAGGGCAUUGAGGUCAGGUCGGUCGAGGAUUGCAUUAUAGGCAGACGGUGCCCUCACUACUAGAAAAUCCACCAGUGCUCUAGAUUAUUUUGGAUACC